GCCGAUGUGGCGGAACUGGCAGACGCGCACGACUCAAAAUCGUGUGGGCGCAAGCCCAUGUGGGUUCGAUUCCCACCAUCGGCA
rnacentral:tRNA from 1 species